rnacentral:misc_RNA from 1 species
UCCGAGUUGACCCCGGCAGUCUCCUAUGAGUCCCCGCCAUCACGCGCUGGCAACAUAGAACGAGGGUUGCGCUCGUUGCGGGACUUGACCCAACAUCUCACGACACGAGCUGACGACAGCCAUGCAGCACCUGUGUGUAGGUCCCGUAAGGGAAGGAAUCCAUCUCUGGAAACCGUCCUACCAUGUCAAACGCUGGUAAGGUUCUGCGCGUUGCUUCGAAUUAAACCACAUGCUCCACCGCCUGUGCAGGCCCCCGUCAAUUCCUUUGAGUUUUAAUCUUGCGACCGUACUCCCCAGGCGGAUAACUUAAUGCGUUAGCUGCGCCACCCAGGCACCAUGUGCCCGGACAGCUAGUUAUCAUCGUUUACGGCGUGGACUAC